rnacentral:rRNA from 1 species
AUUGAACGCUGGCGGCAGGCCUAACACAUGCAAGUCGAGCGGAGCGGCGGACGGGUGAGUAAUGCCUAGGAAUCUGCCUGGUAGUGGGGGAUGAAGUCCGGAACCGGGCGCUAAUACCGCAUACUCUCAGAUGAGCCUAGGUCGGAUUAGCUAGUUGGUGGGGUAAAGGCCUACCAAGGCGACGAUCCGUAACUGGUCUGAGAGGAUGAUCAGUCACACUGGAACGCAGACACGGUCCAGACUCCUACGGGAGGCAGCAGUGGGGAAUAUUGGACAAUGGGCGAAAGCCUGAUACAGCCAUGCCGCGUGUGUGAAGAAGGUCUUCGGAUUGUAAAGUACUUUCAGUUGGGAGGCGUUACCAACAGAAUAAGCACCGACUAACUUCGUGCCAGCAGCCGCGGUAAUAC